rnacentral:lncRNA from 1 species
UUCACAUUUUCUCCAAAUCAAACCAAAACUUCGACUCCAAACUUAGAUUUCUUGAUAAAAUCAAGUAGAAAAUUUGAUUCCAAGCUCAUUUCCUCCAUCAACUCCACCAUUCAAGCUUAGAGUUUUAUGGGUUCAUGAGAGAGAAAGCUACCAUAAAGUAAGAAAUACUGUUCUCAGCAUCUUUUAAGUUAUUAUUUGAUAUUAUUUUCAUGGGAAAGCUUUCAAAACUUGUAUAUUGAAAUUUUGUUUAUUCUUUGGCGUUAAGAAAAAAAUGGAAGUGGUUAUAUGAGGACUUCCAAGCUUGCAUUAGUAAGGAUUCAAGUGUUGGAUAGGUAGGAAUUGAGUUUUGAACCAUCCAAAACGUAAGUACCCGUUUGGACUUUCAUACUUUCCUUAGAUAAGAUUAAGUAUUAAUUUCAAUAUUUGGUUAAUAAAGUGAUGAAAUAAAAUGUAUGUGAAUGAAACAUGAAACCUGCCGAAUAUUUUGAUAUUAAGCUCUAUGUUAGACUAAUGGAAUAUGGGAACUUGUGUACAAUGGUAUAAUGAUAAUAAAAUAAAAUGAUAGAAUAAAAGUGAAUAUUUUCAUGGUAGCUAAUAAUAAUUUUAGUGAAUAUCAUACAUGUGUACUAAAUGACUUGUGUAAAAUAAUACAAUUGAGAAAAAUUCAUGUAUCAUAAGACUUAAAAGUUGAAUGUCGUUGUUGUGCAAUGUGAAAAAAUAGACAAUAAAGCCUUGAUGAGAAAGGACAAACUUAGACACAAAUGAAUAUGUACAUGAAAAAGCAUUGGUGAUAAGGCUCACCUAUAUGGGAAAUAAACAUUGAAAGAUUAUAAAUUGGCAACAAGUUUGCUAGUAGGCACUUGGAAAUGUCAUCUUAAAAUAUGAAUGAAUUUGUUAUAAAUGGCAAUGCCUAUGUAAAUGUCCUGCUCGAAUUUAUAUUUGUUUUCUUUGAGAUUUUAGAUAAGAAUGAAUUAUGGACUAGUGGUUAAGUAGUAGUAAAUUGCUCUUAUGACCCGAGUUCAACUUCCCUUACACACGUAUUUUUAAAACUUUCGACAAACCUUGUGGUCAACCCUUGAUUCCUGCCCAUGAUGUUGGGGUUGACCCAUAACUUGUUUAUCUUGUCUUCCUCUUUGUAAACAUCUCUACAAUAUUCCCUUUCACUUUUCUUUCCCAUCUUUUCCUCCAUUUGGCCGCCUUUUUCCUUUUUUCUUCUUUUCCCUACUUUUUUUUGUUUGCACCACUAUACACCACCAUUUCUUCCUUUGUUCAAUCCAUAUCUCCACCUUAUACCGCAUACUUUCUUCUUUUUCGUCGUCCCUCAUCCUUUCCCAUCCCUUUUGCAUUACUACCACCCGUCGUCAUCGCACCGCCACUACGCUGCCAUCGUGUCACUGUCGUGCUACCACUGCAUCGUCGUGUCACCGUCGACUACCACUGCCCUGUCGUCGUGUCACCGCCAUGCUGCCACCACCAUUAUUCUUCUUUUCUCCUCCUUUUUCUUAUUAUUUUUGUUGUAGCCGAAUCUCCUAUUUUUCUUCUUCCUUUUUAUUUUUCUUUGGUCGAAACUCUGUUAUUCUUUUCCUCUGAUCAUCUAUUUCAAAUCUAUGAAGCAUAUGGAUGUUUAGACCAAAUCUGAGUUGUUAGAAGUGCUAUCAUAACCGAACUGUAAACAGGAGAUAGUUGAUCAGAUCUAGGCAAGAUCUAAUCGGAUCAGUAGUGAAGGAGUACAAUGGUUUAGAUCUAAUAUUAUUUGGACGUACACAAUAAGGUGUGUUUUUUGAUAUCAGAGUGAUUAUUUAUAUUAUUUGUAUCCAAUCGAUGGCAUGGAUGUUUUUGGAGUAAUAUUGGAAUGAGAUCUGCACCUUUUGUUCGGGUUGGUCGUAUGUAAGUGUUCCUAGCUAAAGUUUAGUGUUUGGGCCGAAAUUGUGUAUACUGCAACUAUAUGUUUUGUAUUGUUUCGCGUGUUCUGUAAUUCUAAAACAUGUAUAUUGAUAAUGAUAUUAUGAUUACAUGUUAAUACAUGUCUACUGUUACAGUUAUUACUGAUAGCAUGAUAAAACAUGCUCCCUACUAAUAAU